rnacentral:rRNA from 1 species
UUGCACGCUGGCGGCAGGCUUAACACAUGCAAGUCGAGCGGGGAAAGGUAGCUUGCUACCUGACCUAGCGGCGGACGGGUGAGUAAUGCUUAGGAAUCUGCCUAUUAGUGGGGGACAACAUCUCGAAAGGGAUGCUAAUACCGCAUACGUCCUACGGGAGAAAGCAGGGGACCUUCGGGCCUUGCGCUAAUAGAUGAGCCUAAGUCGGAUUAGCUAGUUGGUGGGGUAAAGGCCUACCAAGGCGACGAUCUGUAGCGGGUCUGAGAGGAUGAUCCGCCACACUGGGACUGAGACACGGCCCAGACUCCUACGGGAGGCAGCAGUGGGGAAUAUUGGACAAUGGGGGGAACCCUGAUCCAGCCAUGCCGCGUGUGUGAAGAAGGCCUUUUGGUUGUAGAGCACUUUAAGCGAGGAGGAGGCUACCGAGAUUAAUACUCUUGGAUAGUGGACGUUACUCGCAGAAUAAGCACCGGCUAACUCUGUG